rnacentral:rRNA from 1 species
UACGUAGGGGGCAAGCGUUGUCCGGAAUCAUUGGGCGUAAAGAGCGUGUAGGUGGCUCGGUAAGUCCGCUGUGAAAGUCCAGGGCUCAACCCUGGAAAGCCGGUGGAAACUGUCGAGCUCGAGUCCGGAAGAGGCGAGUGGAAUUCCUGGUGUAGCGGUGAAAUGCUCAGAUAUCAGGAGGAACACCAAUGGCGAAGGCAGCUCGCUGGGACGGUACUGACACUGAGACGCGAAAGCGUGGGGAGCGAACAGG